rnacentral:rRNA from 1 species
CCUACGGGGGGCUGCAGUAGGGAAUAUUGCUCAAUGGGGGAAACCCUGAUGCAGCAACGCCGCGUGGAGGAUGAAGGUUUUCGGAUUGUAAACUCCUGUUGUUAGAGAAGAUAAUGACGGUAUCUAACGAAUAAGCACCGGCUAACUCCGUGCCAGCAGCCGCGGUAAUACGGAGGGUGCAAGCGUUACUCGGAAUUACUGGGGGGAACGGGCGCGUAGGCGGGUUAGCAAGUCAGAUGUGAAAUCCCUUGGCUUAACCAUAGGACUGCAUUUGAAACUGUUAUACUAGAGUAUGGGAGAGGUAGGUGGAAUUCUUGGUGUAGGGGUAAAAUCCGUAGAUAUCAAGAGGAACACUCAUUGCGAAGGCGACCUGCUAGAACAUAACUGACGCUGAUGCGCGAAAGCGUGGGGAGCAAACAGGAUUAGAUACCCCUGUAGUC